GACGAACGCUGGCGGCGUGCUUAACACAUGCAAGUCGAACGGAAAGGCCCUGCUUUUGUGGGGUGCUCGAGUGGCGAACGGGUGAGUAACACGUGAGUAACCUGCCCUUGACUUUGGGAUAACUUCAGGAAACUGGGGCUAAUACCGGAUAGGAGCUCCUGCUGCAUGGUGGGGGUUGGAAAGUUUCGGCGGUUGGGGAUGGACUCGCGGCUUAUCAGCUUGUUGGUGGGGUAGUGGCUUACCAAGGCUUUGACGGGUAGCCGGCCUGAGAGGGUGACCGGCCACACUGGGACUUGGAUACGGCCCAGACUCCUACGGGAGGCAGCAGUGGGGAAUAUUGCACAGUGGGCGGAAGCCUGAUGCAGCAACGCCGCGUGCGGGAUGACGGCCUUCGGGUUGUAAACCGCUUUCGCCUGUGACGAAGCGUGAGUGACGGUAAUGGGUAAAGAAGCACCGGCUAACUACGUG
rnacentral:rRNA from 1 species